AUGAACAGAGCUCGAGGGUUUCCAGGUAUACUCGGGUCCGUGGAUAGCAUGCAUUGGAAAUGGAAGAACUGUCCAAAAGCAUGGCAUGCACACUUCAAGGGUCGUGGGAAGGAUGCCACUAUCAUUCUUGAGGCAGUUGCUGAUCAUGAAACAUGGAUUUGGCAUGCAUAUUUUGGUAUGCCUGGUUCUUGCAACGACAUCAAUGCGCUCGACCGGUCACCUCUCUUUGCCAACUUAGCAAAUAGAGAAGCACCACCGGUGACCUUCAAAGCCAAUGGCCGCACCUACAACUAUGGGUACUAUCUUGCAGAUGGGAUCUACCCGAGGUGGAGUAAAUUCCUCAAGCCGGUUGCAAAACCUGAAAAGGUAACAAAGAACUCGCCUUUCAUAAUGCACAAGCGGCGGCUAGAAAAGAUGUUGAGAGGGCAUUUGGGAUUUUGCAAUCCCAAUUUGCUGUGCGAGGACCAUCUAGAUUUCGGGAUCAAAAGAUCCUUUGGUACAUCAUGA
rnacentral:rRNA from 1 species